rnacentral:lncRNA from 1 species
GCUUUGCUGUAAAAACUAUGAAAUAGCAAUCAUGUCCUUCUAUGAGAUUUUAGUAUCCUCCUCUCCUUCCCAAAUGACGUUGUUUUUCUAGACCAUCAUUGACAUUUGAGAAAGAGAGAGAGAGAGUAAGGAGGAGUGAGAUCCUUUAGUAUUGACGCUUGUAGGUGAAUUAGAGCAGUGAAGCAAUAUCUCCUGAUUUCCGGUAAUUCUGAUCUUCGAUUGGUGAGUUUUGGUGCUCCCGACUUCUUUAUUCUUUUGAAUCCAAUAUUUAGACAUUUAUGAGAGUUGAAUUAAUUUUUUUAAGUCUAUUUAUACAAUGAGACUGAUUGAUUUCUUUAGUUUGUUGAUCAUAGAUCCUCAGUGCUUUGCCAUCCUCUUCUCCCAACUUCUUCUUAUGAGAUAGAAAAAAGGAUGAGUGGGAUGAAAGGGAGUGAAAGAUCCCGCUUCUAAUUAUCUUGAGUGAGAUUUUGAAUGAUCAAGGACAUGUACUCUUUGGUGGAUUUGAUACAUUUAGAUUCAAUUUGGACUUUGCCUUCUUCUUCGAUUACGGCAACUUCUUCAGUUGAGCUCUCAGCCUCAA